GGCAGGGGGCUAUCUGCAGUCGAACGCUUUGUGCUUAAUUGAUAUGACGAGCUUGCUCUGAUUUGAUUUUUUGAUUUCAAAGAGUGGCGAACGGGUGAGUAACACGUGGGUAACCUACCUCUUAGCAGGGGAUAACAUUUGGAAACAAGUGCUAAUACCGUAUAAUACCAACAACCGCAUGGUUGUUGGUUGAAAGAUGGUUCUGCUAUCACUAAGAGAUGGACCCGCGGUGCAUUAGCUAGUUGGUAAGGUAAUGGCUUACCAAGGCAAUGAUGCAUAGCCGAGUUGAGAGACUGAUCGGCCACAAUGGGACUGAGACACGGCCCAUACUCCUACGGGAGGCAGCAGUAGGGAAUCUUCCACAAUGGGCGCAAGCCUGAUGGAGCAACGCCGCGUGUGUGAUGAAGGGUUUCGGCUCGUAAAACACUGUUAUAAGAGAAGAACGGCACUGAGAGUAACUGUUCAGUGUGUGACGGUAUCUUACCAGAAAGGAACGGCUAAAUACGUGCCAGCAGCCGCGGUAAUACGUAUGUUCCAAGCGUUAUCCGGAUUUAUUGGGCGUAAAGCGAGCGCAGACGGUUAUUUAAGUCUGAAGUGAAAGCCCUCAGCUCAACUGAGGAAUUGCUUUGGAAACUGGAUGACUUGAGUGCAGUAGAGGAAAGUGGAACUCCAUGUGUAGCGGUGAAAUGCGUAGAUAUAUGGAAGAACACCAGUGGCGAAGGCGGCUUUCUGGACUGUAACUGACGUUGAGGCUCGAAAGUGUGGGUAGCAAACAGGAUUAGAUACCCUGGUAGUCCACACCGUAAACGAUGAGUGCUAGAUGUUCGAGGGUUUCCGCCCUUGAGUGUCGCAGCUAACGCAUUAAGCACUCCG
rnacentral:rRNA from 1 species